CCUACGGGAGGCAGCAGUGGGGAAUAUUGGGCAAUGGGCGCAAGCCUGACCCAGCAACGCCGCGUGAAGGAAGAAGGCUUUCGGGUUGUAAACUUCUUUUGUCAGGGAAGAGUAGAAGACGGUACCUGACGAAUAAGCCACGGCUAACUACGUGCCAGCAGCCGCGGUAACACGUAGGUGGCAAGCGUGGUCCGGAUUUACUGGGUGUAAAGGGCGUGUAGUCGGGUGGAUAAGUCAGAUGUGAAAUCCUUCGGCUUAACCGGAGAACUGCAUUUGAAACUGUUGGUCUUGAGUACUGGAGAGGCAGACGGAAUUCCUAGUGUAGCGGUGAAAUGCGUAGAUAUUAGGAGGAACACCAGUGGCGAAGGCGGUCUGCUGGACAGCAACUGACGGUGAGGCGCGAAAGCGUGGGGAGCAAACAGGAGUAGAUACCCGAGUAGUC
rnacentral:rRNA from 1 species